rnacentral:rRNA from 1 species
AAUAUUGCGCAAUGGGGGGAACCCUGACGCAGCGACGCCGCGUGAGCGAUGAAGGCCUUCGGGUCGUCAAGCUCUGUCCUCAGGGAAGAAGAAAGUGACGGUACCUGAGAAGAAAGCCCCGGCUAACUACGUGCCAGCAGCCGCGGUAAUACGUAGGGGGCGAGCGUUGUCCGGAAUUAUUGGGCGUAAAGGGUGCGUAGGCGGCUUCUUAAGUCAGGUGUGAAAUACCAGUGCUUAACACUGGAAUUGCAUUUGAAACUGUGUAGCUUGAGUGCAGGAGAGGAAAGUGGAAUUCCUAGUGUAGCGGUGAAAUGCGUAGAGAUUAGGAGGAACACCAGUGGCGAAGGCGACUUUCUGGACUGUAACUGACGCUGAGGUACGAAAGCGUGGGUAGCGAACA